rnacentral:rRNA from 1 species
GCAAGUCGAGCGAACAGACGAGGAGCUUGCUCCUCUGACGUUAGCGGCGGACGGGUGAGUAACACGUGGAUAACCUACCUAUAAGACUGGGAUAACUUCGGGAAACCGGAGCUAAUACCGGAUAAUAUAUUGAACCGCAUGGUUCAAUAGUGAAAGACGGUUUUGCUGUCACUUAUAGAUGGAUCCGCGCCGCAUUAGCUAGUUGGUAAGGUAACGGCUUACCAAGGCAACGAUGCGUAGCCGACCUGAGAGGGUGAUCGGCCACACUGGAACUGAGACACGGUCCAGACUCCUACGGGAGGCAGCAGUAGGGAAUCUUCCGCAAUGGGCGAAAGCCUGACGGAGCAACGCCGCGUGAGUGAUGAAGGUCUUCGGAUCGUAAAACUCUGUUAUUAGGGAAGAACAAAUGUGUAAGUAACUAUGCACGUCUUGACGGUACCUAAUCAGAAAGCCACGGCUAACUACGUGCCAGCAGCCGCGGUAAUACGUAGGUGGCAAGCGUUAUCCGGAAUUAUUGGGCGUAAAGCGCGCGUAGGCGGUUUUUUAAGUCUGAUGUGAAAGCCCACGGCUCAACCGUGGAGGGUCAUUGGAAACUGGAAAACUUGAGUGCAGAAGAGGAAAGUGGAAUUCCAUGUGUAGCGGUGAAAUGCGCAGAGAUAUGGAGGAACACCAGUGGCGAAGGCGACUUUCUGGUCUGUAACUGACGCUGAUGUGCGAAAGCGUGG